GGGACGGCCGUUAGGCCGCCAUGUUGCCCGCGACGGGACAGGGGCUGCCCCGACAUCCCCAACCGCCCGGCGGCUUUUGUACUUUGUUUCCAGUCAGUAGUAGCGGUCCUGUUGUCUCCAAGACGUCUCAGUACUCUUCUCAUUCGUAUUGAGAUGGUGAUUUUCUUCAGAGUCUUUGUUAGACAAAGAAAACAACAUUCAGUUCCCACAGGUGUGGGAAUUAGCUCACGGCUAAGGGAAGGAUUUUGCUCAGUCAGAAUUUUACAGGAAUUUACAAAGGCUAACACGUGGAAGUUUAUUUCCAGUGAUUUCUUUUGAGAUAUGCAAAGAGUUUGGCACAUUUAGACUGAAGUCUAAAUCUUCAGGUUGCACAUGCUGUGUUCCAGUAUACGAAAGUGUUGCAGAAAAUGAGCCCAGAUAAAAGGUAAGUCUUUAAUCCAGUUCUUUAUCGUAAGAGUAGUAAAGAAGAUAAAGAAGAUUGUAACUUUGUUUGUGGCUAUCCUAUUCCACUUACUCCUUUAGUGCUAAGGGACGCCCCUAGGUCAAAUAUCCACUCCUGUCACAACAGCAGGGUGUGUGGAUUGCUGGUCUUUGAGGUCUUGGGCUGAGCUUUCAGGGUGGUUGUACAGAUCACUGAUGGUACUACAAAAGCUCCUGUGCUGAGGUGAAGAAAGGUGUGCAUGUUUUUUCUUUUAUGGCUACAUAAAACUCUGUACUGUAUAUUGGAUUUUGGGAGAGGAGCUUAAAUGCUUCCCUAAGCACUUUGUAUCCUGCAGUGGAAUAAAAAGGUCAGGCAAUAAGUCAUGUUCAGAAGGAAGACUUUAGUACAGUGGAAUUGGUUUAUUUAAUACUAACGAAAAGGUCACGUCUUUUGUUUUUUAUUCUCACAUAAAUUGAUUUUGUAAAGUUGAAGUUGGUUUAUUACCGCUUUUUUCUUUGGCUUUGCUAUGCCAGUAUUUGAGAAAAGGUCACCUUCUUAGUGGACACGUGGUAUUAUAUGGUCUAUUAAAUCUGUAUUAUUUCUGUUGAUGCUAAUGCGGUUUUUUUUCUUGGAUCUCCCUUUCCUUUUUUUUUCUCCUAACUUUGCUUUUCCCCGGUCAACCCAAUUCCAGCUGGGUGCUUUGUCACACAGUCUAGUAUUUCAGAGGUGUUUGAAUCUGAUUAAUUGCUCAAUUUGAGUUGUAGAAACUCCAAUGUCUUCGACUAGUCUGAUGUGCCAAGCUUAGAUUAACAUGGUUUUUCUCAUCCUUUGGACACUGUGAGAGCUCAAAGAGAUUCCCCCUCUAGUAUCUGUCCUUAUGGAGUAUGUGUCUGAAAACGAUGUGUCAGUAGAAGACAGUGACUAAGUACUGGUAUUCUUACUGUUGCUUUGACCUUUAAUUUCUCAACAUAAAGCUGCUUUAAGAACUGAA
rnacentral:lncRNA from 1 species